rnacentral:rRNA from 1 species
AUUGAACGCUGGCGGUAGGCCUAACACAUGCAAGUCGAACGGCAGCACAGGAGAGCUUGCUCUCCGGGAGGCGAGUGGCGGACGGGUGAGGAAUACAUCGGAAUCUACUCUGUCGUGGGGGAUAACGUAGGGAAACUUACGCUAAUACCGCAUACGACCUACGGGUGAAAGUGGGGGACCGCAAGGCCUCACGCGAUUGAAUGAGCCGAUGUCGGAUUAGCUAGUUGGCGGGGUAAAGGCCCACCAAGGCGACGAUCCGUAGCUGGUCGGAGAGGAUGAUCAGCCACACUGGAACUGAGACACGGUCCAGACUCCUACGGGAGGCAGCAGUGGGGAAUAUUGGACAAUGGGCGCAAGCCUGAUCCAGCCAUACCGCGUGAGUGAAGAAGGCCCUCGGGUUGUAAAGCUCUUUUGUUGGGAAAGAAAUCCUGUUGGUUAAUACCUGGCAGGGAUGACGGUACCCAAAGAAUAAGCACCGGCUAACUUCGUGCCAGCAGCCGCCGUAAGAC